rnacentral:piRNA from 1 species
UAAUCAUAUGAGGGCUGUGAAAAGAGGGA